rnacentral:rRNA from 4 species
AAAUUGAAGAGUUUGAUCAUGGCUCAGAUUGAACGCUGGCGGCAGGCCUAACACAUGCAAGUCGAACGGUAACAGAAAGAAGCUUGCUUCUUUGCUGACGAGUGGCGGACGGGUGAGUAAUGUCUGGGAAACUGCCUGAUGGAGGGGGAUAACUACUGGAAACGGUAGCUAAUACCGCAUAACGUCGCAAGACCAAAGAGGGGGACCUUCGGGCCUCUUGCCAUCGGAUGUGCCCAGAUGGGAUUAGCUUGUUGGUGGGGUAACGGCUCACCAAGGCGACGAUCCCUAGCUGGUCUGAGAGGAUGACCAGCCACACUGGAACUGAGACACGGUCCAGACUCCUACGGGAGGCAGCAGUGGGGAAUAUUGCACAAUGGGCGCAAGCCUGAUGCAGCCAUGCCGCGUGUAUGAAGAAGGCCUUCGGGUUGUAAAGUACUUUCAGCGGGGAGGAAGGGAGUAAAGUUAAUACCUUUGCUCAUUGACGUUACCCGCAGAAGAAGCACCGGCUAACUCCGUGCCAGCAGCCGCGGUAAUACGGAGGGUGCAAGCGUUAAUCGGAAUUACUGGGCGUAAAGCGCACGCAGGCGGUUUGUUAAGUCAGAUGUGAAAUCCCCGGGCUCAACCUGGGAACUGCAUCUGAUACUGGCAAGCUUGAGUCUCGUAGAGGGGGGUAGAAUUCCAGGUGUAGCGGUGAAAUGCGUAGAGAUCUGGAGGAAUACCGGUGGCGAAGGCGGCCCCCUGGACGAAGACUGACGCUCAGGUGCGAAAGCGUGGGGAGCAAACAGGAUUAGAUACCCUGGUAGUCCACGCCGUAAACGAUGUCGACUUGGAGGUUGUGCCCUUGAGGCGUGGCUUCCGGAGCUAACGCGUUAAGUCGACCGCCUGGGGAGUACGGCCGCAAGGUUAAAACUCAAAUGAAUUGACGGGGGCCCGCACAAGCGGUGGAGCAUGUGGUUUAAUUCGAUGCAACGCGAAGAACCUUACCUGGUCUUGACAUCCACAGAACUUUCCAGAGAUGGAUUGGUGCCUUCGGGAACUGUGAGACAGGUGCUGCAUGGCUGUCGUCAGCUCGUGUUGUGAAAUGUUGGGUUAAGUCCCGCAACGAGCGCAACCCUUAUCCUUUGUUGCCAGCGGUCCGGCCGGGAACUCAAAGGAGACUGCCAGUGAUAAACUGGAGGAAGGUGGGGAUGACGUCAAGUCAUCAUGGCCCUUACGACCAGGGCUACACACGUGCUACAAUGGCGCAUACAAAGAGAAGCGACCUCGCGAGAGCAAGCGGACCUCAUAAAGUGCGUCGUAGUCCGGAUUGGAGUCUGCAACUCGACUCCAUGAAGUCGGAAUCGCUAGUAAUCGUGGAUCAGAAUGCCACGGUGAAUACGUUCCCGGGCCUUGUACACACCGCCCGUCACACCAUGGGAGUGGGUUGCAAAAGAAGUAGGUAGCUUAACCUUCGGGAGGGCGCUUACCACUUUGUGAUUCAUGACUGGGGUGAAGUCGUAACAAGGUAACCGUAGGGGAACCUGCGGUUGGAUCACCUCCUUA